rnacentral:ribozyme from 1 species
UAGCAUCGGAAUUGAUUGGGGAAUUGUUGUAUUUGUCCUCUUUGUGACUGUCGGCGCUUGGUUUCUUCCAAGGAUUGAAUCAAUACUCGACCAGAUUAUGAAAGAGGAAAAGCUUAAGAAGCUGAAAAAGGAAAAUAAAAAAGAAUUGGAAGCACUG